rnacentral:lncRNA from 1 species
GCUUAUAGCUAAUAUGUACUCGGACGCUAAAAGUGCAGUUCUUUACAACGGACAAAUCUCACGUUUCUUCCCAGUUUAUCGUGGUGUUCGCCAAGGGAGCAGCUUAUCAUCUAAAUUGUAUUUGUUAUACAUUAAUGACUUGUUAGAAGAGCUUUCCGACUGUAGACGUGGCAUACUCGUAACGGACAUUCAUAUUUCAUCACCCGUUCAAGCAGAUGAUAUCGCUUUGAUCAGUACUAACUGUUGUAACAUGCAGACGAUGGUAACAAUAUGCGAAAAUUAUAGCAUUGAUUGGAAAUUUA